rnacentral:rRNA from 1 species
AUACGUAGGGGGCGAGCGUUGUCCGGAAUGAUUGGGCGUAAAGGGCGCGUAGGCGGCCCGGUAAGUCUGGAGUGAAAGUCCUGUUUUUAAGAUGGGAAUUGCUUUGGAUACUGUCGGGCUUGAGUGCAGGAGAGGUAAGUGGAAUUCCCAGUGUAGCGGUGAAAUGCGUAGAGAUUGGGAGGAACACCAGUGGCGAAGGCGACUUACUGGACUGUAACUGACGCUGAGGCGCGAAAGUGUGGGGAGCAAACAGGAUUAGAUACCCUGGUAGUCCACGCGGUAAACGAUGAAUGCUAGGUGUUGCGGGUAUCGACCCCUGCAGUGCCGGAGUAAACACAAUAAGCAUUCCGCCUGGGGAGUACGGCCGCAAGGUUGAAACUCAAAUGAAUUGACGGG